UACGUAGGGGGCAAGCGUUAUCCGGAUUUACUGGGUGUAAAGGGAGCGUAGACGGCGAUGCAAGUCUGAAGUGAAAGGCGGGGGCCCAACCCCCGGACUGCUUUGGAAACUGUAUAGCUGGAGUGCAGGAGAGGUAUGUGGAAUUCCUAGUGUAGCGGUGAAAUGCGUAGAUAUUAGGAGGAACACCAGUGGCGAAGGCGGCUUACUGGACUGUAACUGACGUUGAGGCUCGAAAGCGUGGGGAGCAAACAGG
rnacentral:rRNA from 1 species